rnacentral:tRNA from 1 species
GCAUUGAUGGUGCAGUAUUUACCAUGCUAGUCUGUGAAAUUAGAGGUCAGGGGUUCAAUGGUCUUCAGUGCA